UGGAAACGUGUGCUGGUGAGAUAGCGACGUGCACCGAGCCUCGCAAAUGGUCCUCGUCCACCUGAGGGCGUCGAACGUGUACGAUGUGGGGGGCAUGAAUGAAGCGAACACCAUCGACUUUAGACACAUGGUGGGGGUAGAGUACCACACUCAGCGAGAGGUGGUUCGCCCACCGCCGUCUCUCACAGACACUAACGCCAAUCAUGUGGCGAUGGUCAGCAUGGGACUAUACCGUUUCUCCAAUGCGACGAGUCCAGUUGUCAUCUUUGUCAGCUCCGAGGAGCGAUGCAGCAUGCCGGCGCGGUUCUUCUGCACCCGGUUUGUGCAUUACUUUCGGUGGAUAGGCGAAAGUGUGCAGCUGUUUGUUGCCUCCAAGAGCUUCCAAGAUCAUCGUCCGACGCCGUACGCGACGCAACGGGAUACAUGGCUUCAAGAAAACCGACGGUGUGUGUCGGCUGCCUUGGACUACUUCGACUCGAAUCCGAAGCUGGGCUUUGUCGCCACUCCCGUUGCAGUUAUGUUUACUGACUGCGACUGCGCGGAUGCCCGUGCAGCACUGGUGAGUUUGCUCCCCCCUGAGCGCUCUUUUUUAAUUCGGCACGUGCGGUUUGCGGAGGAGUGGGAGAGCCACAGGCAGAACUCCUAUCGCUUUAUCGACGUUAGCCUCCAGCGGCAGGCACUGCGCGCGUCGCGGAGCAGCGGCAGCGUUGUCUGCUCCAGCCUCACCAGUUUUCUCAACAGUAUGCUUCCGACGCUGUAUCAGCUCUACUCGGCGGAGCCGCUGGAGGGCGCGCCAGGCGAGACACUCAAGUCGUUCCCGCCAAUCUUCUUUACCCGCCACGGGCAGUCCGAGUACAACGUCGAGGAUCGACUCGGCGGAGACCCGGACUUGACGGAGACCGGCCGAAUCGACGCCGAAGACAUUGCCCACUUUUUUGAGCGUCAAGUCAAGACGAAUGUAAACUUGUUCGACCAUCGCACCACCGUGUGGGAGGAGGACGGCGACUUUGAGGUGUGGUGCAGCCAGCUGCGACGCACCCAGCGCACAGCGCAACCCACCGCCGACAUACUGUCCCACGGUGUUCUCAAACCGUUCAAGUCGCUCAACGAGAUUCAUGCCGGCAUCUGCGAGGACAUGACCAACGAGGAAGUGAAGUCCCUCUACCCCUUUAUCCAACGCUUUCGGCAUACUGACAAGGUCGGGUUCCGCUACCCGGACGGCGAAUCGUAUGUCGACCUCGUCCGCCGACUCACACCUCUGCUGAACGACUUGAACAAUUGCAUGAAGUGCGUGGUGGUUGUCGCGCACCAAGCCGUGCUCCGUACUAUGCUGUCUUUCUUCGGCGGGCGGCCAGUAGAAGAGGCCGUGCAUGUCCCGUGCCCACAGCGCACCAUUUGGGCGUGCACAAUGAACCGCCUUGGAGAACCGCAGCUGGCUGAGAUAGCGUUGUCGCCUCGCCAGACUCAAGACGAGGGACCCGAGGCCCACUGGCAGGGCUGGUAGGCAGUCCGGCUGCGUAUAUGUUUUGGUGUGCGCCUAAGUGUGUGUGUGUGUGUGUGUGCUUAUCAGCGCGCCUGCCUGCUCCACUUGCGCGUCCUGUGCUGCGUUGCUUUAGGCUCUUUUUUUUGCCGAUAUCGGUCUCGAACGCCGCUUUCAUCUUUGCACAUUUGCCAGCGCUUCACGUUGAUUUCUUUUCGGCGACUCUUCUGGCCGUGCUGUACGCUGCUACCUCUUCGCUCGUUUCUUGCUCUACCACCCCUUCUCUCCAGCGCGUGCACAUAUAAACGCACCUCCCAAACCGACCUUGUUGUUUCCGUUCUUUCCCUUGUUAUUGCUGAGCGAUCACGGCGUUAGAUCACGCUGCGCGCCGAUGAAGGGCGUGGAAAGGUAUAGCGGGGCCGUUGUUCACCCCCUCUUGCAGCCCUUUACUAACAUGCACAUGCGCAAGCGCAUGCUGACUUCGCCUCGGAGAGCACGGCUACUGCGCGACUCGAACCGCAAACCUGCGUCCGAGGGCAGAUCAAUAGGUGUGCCCUCAGGUGAUGGGGAAGUGAAGGACCGUACGAGAGAGAGGGGCAUUCUAUGGAUGAUGCUUCAGUAAUGGCUUCCUGUACAUUUUUGUUGUUGCUCUUCAUCAUCUUACCUGAUGACGCGGGGGGAUAG
rnacentral:misc_RNA from 1 species